rnacentral:other from 1 species
CCUUAUCUAGUUAAUGAGUUUCGGACUUAAGUAUGAUGUUGUGUUUGCAUAGAGUUCGGGAAACCGAACUUGAGUAACAAAAUAAGUUACUCAUUUACUUCCUGUAUUCUUUAAACCGUUUGGUUAAACGCUACCCUUUGGGUGGCGUUUUUUUAU